AGCGAACGCUGGCGGCAGGCCUAACACAUGCAAGUCGAACGAACUCUUCGGAGUUAGUGGCGGACGGGUGAGUAACACGUGGGAACGUGCCUUUUGGUUCGGAAUAACUCAGGGAAACUUGUGCUAAUACCGAAUGUGCCCUUCGGGGAAAGAUUUAUCGCCAUUAGAGCGGCCCGCGUCUGAUUAGCUAGUUGGUGAGGUAACGGCUCACCAAGGCGACGAUCAGUAGCUGGUCUGAGAGGAUGACCAGCCACACUGGGACUGAGACACGGCCCAGACUCCUACGGGAGGCAGCAGUGGGGAAUCUUGCGCAAUGGGCGAAAGCCUGACGCAGCCAUGCCGCGUGAAUGAUGAAGGUCUUAGGAUUGUAAAAUUCUUUCACCGGGGACGAUAAUGACGGUACCUGGAGAAGAAGCCCCGGCUAACUUCGUG
rnacentral:rRNA from 1 species